rnacentral:rRNA from 1 species
GAACGUUGGCGGUGUGCCUAAUACAUGCAAGUCGAGCGAGAAAACCGGGGCAACUCGGUGAGUACAGCGGCGGAAGGGUGCGUAAUACAUGGAUAACGUACCCCCCAGAUCGGGAUAACCCUCCGAAAGGUGGGCUAAUACCGGGUAAUGGCAGCGGGUGGCAUCAUUUGCUGCUUAAAGACGCAAGUCGCUGGGGGAGCGGUCCAUGGCCUAUCAGCUAGUUGGCGGGGUAACGGCCCACCAAGGCGAUGACGGGUAGCCGGACUGAGAGGUUGAACGGCCACACGGGAACUGAGACACGGUCCCGACAUCUACGGAUGGCAGCAGUAGGGAAUCUUGCACAAUGGGCGAAAGCCUGAUGCAGCGACACCGCGUGGGGGAUGAAGGCCUUCGGGUUGUAAACCCCUUUCAUGAGGGAAGAAUACUGACCUAACCUCAGGAAGAAGCACCGGCUAACUCCGUGCCAGCAGCUGCGGUAAUACGGAGAGUGCAAACGUUGUUCGGAUUCACUGGGCGUAAAGGGCACGUAGGCGGCUCGGCAAAUCGGUCGUGGAAUCUCGACGCUUACCGUCGAAACGGCGGCCGAAAAUACCGGGCUCGAGGGCGUGAGGGGUCACUGGAACUCCUGGUGAAGCGGUGAAAUGCGUAGAUAUCAGGAGGAACGCCGGAGGCGAAAGCGAGUGACUGGCGCGUUCCUGACGCUGAGGUGCGAAAGCUAGGGGAGCAAACAGGAUUAGAUACCCUGGUAGUCCUAGCCGUAAACGAUGGACACUGAGUGAAGGAGGGCUUGCCCUUCUUUGCUGCAGCUAACGCGUUAAGUGUCCCGCCUGGGGAGUACGGCCGCAAGGUUUAAACUCAAAU